rnacentral:sRNA from 1 species
GAUAAGCGCUGCUGCUGCCUGCGGGAGAUCCAGCAGACGGAGGAGAAGUACACGGACACGCUGGGCUCCAUCCAGCAGCAUUUCUUGAAGCCCCUGCAACGGUUCCUGAAACCUCAAGACAUUGAGAUCAUCUUUAUCAACAUUGAGGACCUGCUUCGUGUUCAUACUCACUUCCUAAAGGAGAUGAAGGAAGCCCUGGGCACCCCUGGCGCAGCCAAUCUCUACCAGGUCUUCAUCAAAUACAAGGAGAGGUUUCUCGUCUAUGGCCGCUACUGCAGCCAGGUGGAGUCAGCCAGCAAACACCUGGACCGUGUGGCCGCAGCCCGGGAGGACGUGCAGAUGAAGCUGGAGGUGGGGGCCGGGCCACUUCUGGGGGGCCUCUCCCACUCCUCCCAGGCCCUGGGGGCAGCAGGGAGGACACUGAGUUGCAGAUGGUCCACUUUCUGCUGCAGCCCAGCCAGGGAUCCAUCAAAGGACUAGGGAGGGAAGUACUAGCCAGCCAAGCAGAGGAAAUGGAGAACAGAAAUGGGCUGGCCCUGGGUCUGGGCUGACCCCUGAUAUCAGGGUGAAGUCCUGUCCCUGAACUGAGCUCUGAUCUCACACUGAACCCCAGCCCUGGGCUGAGCCCUAGCACUGAUUGUACCCCAAGUCUGGGCUGAGCUCCCACUUCUCACUGAACCCCAAUUCCAACCAACCCCGGAUCCCAGGCUGAACUUGAUCUUGAACUGAACUUCAACCUGG